GAUGAACGCUGGCGGCGUGCCUAAUACAUGCAAGUCGAGCGAACAGAUAAGGAGCUUGCUCCUUUGACGUUAGCGGCGGACGGGUGAGUAACACGUGGAUAACCUACCUAUAAGACUGGGAUAACUUCGGGAAACCGGAGCUAAUACCGGAUAAGAUUUUGAACCGCAUGGUUCAAUAGUGAAAGACGGCCUUGCUGUCAAUUAUAGAUGGAUCCGCGCCGUAUUAGCUAGUUGGUAAGGUACCGGCUUACCAAGGCAACGAUACGUAGCCGACCUGAGAGGGUGAUCGGCCACACUGGAACUGAGACACGGUCCAGACUCCUACGGGAGGCAGCAGUAGGGAAUCUUCCGCAAUGGGCGAAAGCCUGACGGAGCAACGCCGCGUGAGUGAUGAAGGUCUUCGGAUCGUAAAACUCUGUUAUCAGGGAAGAACAAACGUGUAAGUAACUGUGCACGUCUUGACGGUACCUGAUCAGAAAGCCACGGCUAACUACGUG
rnacentral:rRNA from 1 species